AAAGCCGUUGAUGACAUAAUAACCGCCCCAGUCUGACCUUUGGUGACUGACUGGUAAAUUCUGAGGCUAU